UUUGUACUCCCUCCAUCUAAAAAUACUUGUCAUCAAAAUGGAUAAAAAGAGAUGUAUCUAGAACUAAAAUACAUCUAGAUACAUCCCCUUUUAUCAAUUUCGAUGACAAGUAUUUCCGGACGGAGGGAGUAUGAC
rfam:Triticum aestivum genome assembly, contig: Triticum_aestivum_CS42_TGACv1_scaffold_211316_3AS